rnacentral:rRNA from 1 species
CCUACGGGAGGCAGCAGUGAGGAAUAUUGGACAAUGGGCGCAAGCCUGAUCCAGCCAUGCCGCGUGCAGGAAGACGGUCCUAUGGAUUGUAAACUGCUUUUGUACAGGAAGAAACACUCCCUCGUGAGGGAGCUUGACGGUACUGUAAGAAUAAGGAUCGGCUAACUCCGUGCCAGCAGCCGCGGUAAUACGGAGGAUCCAAGCGUUAUCCGGAAUCAUUGGGUUUAAAGGGUCCGUAGGCGGUUUAAUAAGUCAGUGGUGAAAUCUGGUCGCUCAACGAUCAAACGGCCAUUGAUACUGUUAGACUUGAAUUAUUAGGAAGUAACUAGAAUAUGUAGUGUAGCGGUGAAAUGCUUAGAUAUUACAUGGAAUACCAAUUGCGAAGGCAGGUUACUACUAAUGGAUUGACGCUGAUGGACGAAAGCGUGGGGAGCGAACAGGAUUAGAUACCCUGGUAGUCCACGCCGUAAACGAUGGAUACUAGCUGUUCGGAGCAAUCUGAGUGGCUAAGCGAAAGUGAUAAGUAUCCCACCUGGGGAGUACGUUCGCAAGAAUGAAACCUNAAGUGAAUUGACGNNGAGAGAGACGAGAGACGACGAGGGAGGAGG